GACGAACGCUGGCGGCGGGCUUAACACAUGCAAGUCGAACGGAAAGGCCCUUCUUUGGUGGGGUGCUCGGGUGGCGAACGGGUGCGUAACACGUGAGUAACCUGCCCUUGACUUUGGUAUAACUUCAGGAAACUGGGGCUAAUACCGGAUAGCAGCUUCUGCUUCGUGGUGGGGGUUGGAAAGUUUGGGCGGUUGGGGAUGUGCUCGCGGCUGAUCAGCUUGUUUGUGGGGUAGUGGCUUACCAGGGCUUCGACGGGUAGCCGGCCUGAGAGGGUUACCGGGCACAUUGGGACUGAGCUACGGCCCAGACUACUACGGGAGGCAGCAGUGGGGAAUAUUGCACAAUGGGCGGAAGCCUGAUGCAGCAACGCCGCGUGCGGGAUGACGGACUUCGGGUUGAAAACCGCUUUCGCCUGUGACGAAGCGUGAGUGGAGGUAAUGGGUAAAGAAGCACCGGCUAACUACGUG
rnacentral:rRNA from 1 species